rnacentral:rRNA from 1 species
UUGCCCUACGGGACGCAGCAGUGAGGAAUAUUGGUCAAUGGCCGGAAGGCUGAACCAGCCAAGCCGCGUGAAGGACGAAGGUGCCAAGCAUUGUAAACUUCUUUUGUCAAGGGACAAAAUCAGGCUCGAGAGCCUGACCGAGGGUACUUGAAGAAAAAGCAUCGGCUAACUCCGUGCCAGCAGCCGCGGUAAUACGGAGGAUGCGAGCGUUAUCCGGAUUUAUUGGGUUUAAAGGGUGCGUAGGCGGGCUGUUAAGUCAGCGGUAAAAUCCCGGGGCUCAACCCCUGCGAGCCGUUGGAACUGGG